AAUAGAUACCCAGGUAGUCCACGCCGUAAACGAUGGAUACUAGCUGUUGGAGGUAUCGGACCCCUUCAGUAGCGAAGCUAACGCGUUAAGUAUCCCGCCUGUGGAGUACGGUCGCAAGACUAAAACAUAAAGGAAUUGACGGGGACCCGCACAAGCGGUGGAUCGUGUUCUUUAAUUCGAUGCUAAACGAAGAACCUUACCAGGGUUUGACAUCCCUUGAAUUAAUCCGAAAGGAUUGAGCGCUUUAUUGAACAAGGUGACAGGUGAUGCAUGGCCGUCGUCAGCUCGUGUCGUGAGAUGUUUGGUUAAGUCCAUCAACGAGCGCAACCCUUGCAAGUAGUUGUAUUUUUCUACUUGGACUGCCCCGGUAACGGGGAGGAAGGAGGGGAUGAUGUCAGGUCAGUAUUUCCCUUACAUCCUGGGCUAGAAACACGAUACAAUGGCUAGUACAAUGCGCAGCGAAGCCGCGAGGUGAAGCAAAUCGCAUCAAAGCUAGUCCCAGUUCGGAUUGGAGGCUGAAACUCGCCUCCAUGAAGUCGG
rnacentral:rRNA from 1 species